ACUCCUACGGGAGGCAGCAGUGGGGAAUUUUGGACAAUGGGCGCAAGCCUGAUCCAGCCAUGCCGCGUGAGUGAAGAAGGCCUUCGGGUUGUAAAGCUCUUUCGGUAGGAACGAAAUGGUUCGUGCUAAUACCACGGACUGAUGACGGUACCUGAAGAAGAAGCACCGGCUAACUACGUGCCAGCAGCCGCGGUAAUACGUAGGGUGCGAGCGUUAAUCGGAAUUACUGGGCGUAAAGCGUGCGCAGGCGGUUUUGUAAGACAGGUGUGAAAUCCCCGGGCUUAACCUGGGAACUGCAUUUGUGACUGCAAGGCUAGAGUGCGGCAGAGGGGGGUAGAAUUCCACGUGUAGCAGUGAAAUGCGUAGAUAUGUGGAGGAAUACCGAUGGCGAAGGCAGCCCCCUGGGUCGACACUGACGCUCAUGCACGAAAGCGUGGGGAGCAAACAGGAUUAGAUACCCUGGUAGUCCACGCCCUAAACGAUGUCGACUAKGUGUUGGGGAAGGAGACUUCCUUAGUACCGCAGCUAACGCGUGAAGUCGACCGCCUGGGGAGUACGGUCGCAAGAUUAAAACUCAAAUGAAUUGACGG
rnacentral:rRNA from 1 species